rnacentral:rRNA from 1 species
CACUUCUAAGGAAGGCAGCAGGCGCGCAAAUUACCCAAUCCUGACUCAGGGAGGUAGUGACAAGAAAUAACAAUAAACCGGCUUAUGCCGGUUUAAUUGGAAUGAGUACAAUUUAAACAUCUUAACGAGGAACAAUUGGAGGGCAAGUCUGGUGCCAGCAGCCGCGGUAAUUCCAGCUCCAAUAGCGUAUACUAAAGUUGUUGCAGUUAAAAAGCUCGUAGUUGGAUUUCUGUGGGGACGGAGCGGCCGGCCGCACAUCGCGGUUCGAGCUAGCGCUUUCCCUACAUCCUGCCGCGAACCGUGCUACCAUUAAUUUGGUGGCGCCGGGGAUCGGCUCGAUUACUUUGAGAAAAAUAGAGUGUUCAAAGCAGGCCACAUGCCUUGAAUAAGUUAGCAUGGAAUAAUAACUAAGGACUUCGGUUCUAUUUUGUUGGUGUUCGGGACUGAAGUAAUGAUUGAUAGGGACAGUUGGGGCGGUCUGUAUUCCAAAGCGAGAGGUGAAAUUCUUAGACCUUCGGAAGACAAACAGCUGCGAAAGCGUUCCGCAAGGAUGUUCCCUUUGAUCAAGAACGAAAGUUGGGGGAUCGAAGACGAUCAGAUACCGUCGUAGUCUCAACUAUAAACUAUACCAGCUAGGGAUCGGCCAACGUUAUUUUAUACCGACUUGGUCGGCACCUUAUGAGAAAUCAAAGCAUCUGGGUUCCGGGGGGAGUAUGGUCGCAAGGCUGAAACUUAAAGGAAUUGACGGAAGGGCACCACCAGCCGUGGAGCCUGUGGCUUAAUUUGACUCAACACGGGAAAACUUACCAGGUCCAGACAUAGUAAGGAUUGACAGAUUGAUAGCUCUUUCUUGAUUCUGUGGGUGGUGGUGCAUGGCCGUUCUUAGUUGGUGGAGUGAUUUGUCUGGUUAAUUCCGUUAACGAACGAGACCCCAGCCUGCUAAAUAGCGCGCGUGAGCUUUGCUCGCGGCGAGCUUCUUAGAGGGACUAUGAUGCGCGAUAGCACAUGGAAGUUUGGGGCAAUAACAGGUCUGUGAUGCCCUUAGAUGUUCUGGGCCGCACACGGGCUACACUGGCGCCUGCAACGAGCAUAUCAGCUGGCCCGAGAGGGUCUUGGCUAAUCUUUUGAACCGGCGCCGUGCUUGGGAUUGACCUUUGCAAUUGUUGGUCAUGCAACGAGGAAUGCCUUGUAAACGCGAGUCAUCAGCUCGCAUUGAAUACGUCCCUGCCCUUUGUACACACCGCCUGUCGCUCCUACCGAUGAAUGUUCCGAUGAAAUUUUCGGAGAGCACCUGUGAACUUGGCUCUGCCUUGCGAACGGGAGGCUCAAAGUCACUUAAAUCUGAACAUUUCGAGG